GAUGAACGCUAGCGACAGGCCUAACACAUGCAAGUCGAGGGGCAGCACGAGGUAGCAAUACUUGGGUGGCGACCGGCGGACGGGUGAGUAACACGUAUGCAACCUGCCCGUAAUCGGGGGAUAACCCGGAGAAAUUCGGACUAACACUCCAUGCACCUGAAAUGUCACAUGACGAAUCAGGUAAACGCAAGGAUUACGGAUGGGCAUGCGGAUGAUUAGCUAGUUGGAGGGGUAACGGCCCGCCAAGGCGACGAUCAUUAGGGGUUCUGAGAGGAAGGUCCCCCACAUUGGAACUGAGAAACGGUCCAAACUCCUACGGGAGCAGCAGUGAGGAAUAUUGGUCAAUGGGCGAGAGCCUGAACCAGCCAAGUCGCGUGAAGGAAGAAGGUCUUAUGGAUUGUAAACUUCUUUAGCAGAGGAUAAAGGUUAUUACGAGUUAAUAAUUUGCUAGGUACUCUGACGAAAAAGGAUACGGCUAACUCCGUGCCAGCAGCCGACGGUAAAAGUGUGUGUACG
rnacentral:rRNA from 1 species